GACGUAGGGCGCGAGCGUUGUCCGGAUUUAUUGGGCGUAAAGAGCUCGUAGGCGGCUUGUCGCGUCGUUCGUGAAAACCUGCAGCUCAACUGCAGGCUUGCGGUCGAUACGGGCAGGCUAGAGUUCGGUAGGGGAGACUGGAAUUCCUGGUGUAGCGGUGAAAUGCGCAGAUAUCAGGAAGAACACCCGUGGCGAAAGCGGUUCUCUGGGCAUUACCUGACGCUGAGGAGCGAAAGUGUGGGGAGCGAACAGG
rnacentral:rRNA from 1 species